rnacentral:ncRNA from 2 species
CAUCCUCCAAGGCUAAAUACUCCUGACUGACCGAUAGUGAACCAGUACCGUGAGGGAAAGGCGAAAAGAACCCCGGCGAGGGGAGUGAAAAAGAACCUGAAACCGUGUACGUACAAGCAGUGGGAGCCCCACCACUAAGCCAGUGGUGAGUCCACGUCAGCAUCCUUUGCCGAAGGUAAGGUUAACGGAGCGCAAGCGACGUUCAACCUCAAAAGAAGCAGAGGGGGCUUAGUGGUGGGGUGACUGCGUACCUUUUGUAUAAUGGGUCAGCGACUUAUAUUCUGUAGCAAGGUUAACCGCAUAGGGGAGCCGAAGGGAAACCGAGUCUUAACUGGGCGUUAAGUUGCAGGGUAUAGACCCGAAACC